GGGGGUAUAGCUCAGUGGUAGAGUGUUUGACUGCUCCUCAAGUUGUCCUUGGUUCAAAUCCAAGUGUCCCCU